GACGAACGCUGGCGGCGUGCUUAACACAUGCAAGUCGAACGGAAAGGCUCCAGCUUGCUGGAGUGCUCGAGUGGCGAACGGGUGAGUAACACGUGGGCAAUCUGCCCUGCACUCUGGGAUAAGCCUGGGAAACUGGGUCUAAUACCGGAUAGGACCUUUCUCCUCAUGGGGUUUGGUGGAAAGUUUUUCGGUGCAGGAUGAGCCCGCGGCCUAUCAGCUUGUUGGUGGGGUAAUGGCCUACCAAGGCGACGACGGGUAGCCGGCCUGGGAGGGUGAUCGGCCACAUGGGGACUAGGAUAGGGCAGAGACGCCGCGGGGGGGAGGGGGGGGGGAUUAUUGAAAAAGGGGAAAGGGCUUGGGGCGGCGCCGCGGGGGGGGGGAGGAGGGCUUGGGGUUUUUAAACAUCUUUAGGGGGGGACGAAGCGCAGGUGACGGUACCUGAAGAAGAAGCGCGGGCAAACGAGGGG
rnacentral:rRNA from 1 species